UACGUAGGGUGCAGGCGUUAAUCGGAAUUACUGGGCGUAAAGGGCUCGUAGGCGGCCAACUAAGUCAGACGUGAAAUCCCUCGGCUUAACCGGGGAACUGCGUCUGAUACUGGAUGGCUAGAGGUUGGGAGAGGGAUGCGGAAUUCCAGGUGUAGCGGUGAAAUGCGUAGAUAUCUGGAGGAACACCGGUGGCGAAGGCGGCAUCCUGGACCAAUUCUGACGCUGAGGAGCGAAAGCCAGGGGAGCAAACGGG
rnacentral:rRNA from 1 species